CAAUAAUUGGUCACAGGAAAAGACUCCCAUCAGCCUUUCGCAACUUCAACUUCCUCCCAGCUCCCGAAGCUAUCUUAAAGCCUUGAAGGGUCAUAAAUUUAAGAUCCCAGAUUUACAAUUUUCACAUGCCUUUGGCUUUGUUUAUUGAAGCUUGUCAAGGUAAGAGGAGUUAUCAUGAGGGAUGACCACACUCAAGGGACAAAUCUCUUUACAUAUGCUUCAAGAAGGCUUAUGUCAGAAGACCCUGCCUUUAAAAUUUGGGACUGGGCUUUUACAGUUCAGUGUAGUCAGUCAUAGUGUUAGUCAUAUGACCCCAGGCCAGAUGUGUCAGCAACUUUGGGUAAGUUACCAAUAGUAUCACUUGUUUGUUCCUUUAUGCAGAUAUUAUAACAAGGUCAGGAUGUUUCACUUUGGGACUUAUGAAUCUGAGUGGUUUCAGCAU